GAAUAAUUUUAUUCUUGUUUAAAUAAUUUGCUAAUAUCAAAUUUUAUAUGUAAAUUUUUGUUUUAUUAUUUCUAAAUGAAAUUUAAAGUUAAUGGGUCAGUAAAAAGUAUUAAUAAUUAGAUAAAUUUUUAAUUGGUUAUGAUAGUAGUAUUGAUAGAAUAUGUGCCAGCAUUCGCGGUUAUACAUUAUAUACAAGUGAAUUUUAUUAGUAUAAUAGUUACUUUAUGUAAAGUGGAUAUAUUAUUGAUUUUUGGGUGAAAUCUAAAUUUUUAUUAAGUUGUUUAAUAUUAAAGGAAGCUUUGAAAUCCAUUUAAUAAACUAGGAUUAGAUACCCUAUUAUUUUGGAUAUAAAUUGGUGAAUACUUAAGUAGUAGUAGUUAGGGACUUGAAACUUAAAGAAUUUGGCGGUAUUUUAGUCUGUUUAGAGGAAUCUGUCCCGUAAUCGAUAAUCCGCGUUGGACCUUACUUAAUAUAUGGUAUGUAUACCGCCGUUGUUGAAAAUCUUUUUAGGGUAAUUUCUUGAUUUUUUUAGUAAAAAUUUCAGGUCAAGGUGCAGCUUAUGAUUAAGAGGUGAUGGAUUACAAUGUUUUAAAAUAAACGGAUUUUUAUUAGAAGUUAAUUAAUUGAAGGUGGAUUUAAUAGUAAAUUUGUGAAGAUUUUCAAAUUGAUAAAAGCUCUAAAAUGUGCACACAUCGCCCGUCACUCUCGUUAAUUAAGGUGAGAUAAGUCGUAACAAAGUAGGUGUACCGGAAGGUGUAGCUAGAAUGUC
rnacentral:ncRNA from 1 species